rnacentral:rRNA from 1 species
AGUGAACGCUGGCGGUAGGCCUAACACAUGCAAGUCGAACGGCAGCACAGUAAGAGCUUGCUCUUACGGGUGGCGAGUGGCGGACGGGUGAGGAAUACAUCGGAAUCUACUUUUUCGUGGGGGAUAACGUAGGGAAACUUACGCUAAUACCGCAUACGACCUACGGGUGAAAGCAGGGGAUCUUCGGACCUUGCGCGAUUGAAUGAGCCGAUGUCGGAUUAGCUAGUUGGCGGGGUAAAGGCCCACCAAGGCGACGAUCCGUAGCUGGUCUGAGAGGAUGAUCGGCGAGACUGGAAAUGAGGCACGGUGCAGACUCCUACGGGCGGCAGCAGUGGGGAAUAUUGGACAAUGGGCGCAAUCCUGAUCCAGCCAUACCGCGUGGGUGAAGAAGGCCUUCGGGUUGUAAAGCCCUUUUGUUGGGAAAGAAAAGCAGCAGGUUAAUACCCCGCUGUUCUGACGGUACCCAAAGAAUAAGCACCGGCUAACUUCGUG